rnacentral:lncRNA from 1 species
ACUUGAUGGUCACUGCUGACCCUACACAGGACCGUGCUCAUCACCACAACUGUUCAGCUGAGUUCCGCAAGAGAAGCUGUAUGGUUGCUGUGUUUCCAGCACAGAUUCCCGUAGAUUACCACCGGCAUGGAGCGGCCUCUUCCAUCGGAGCCCUGUCUUAAGGAGCUGCUGAAGAUUCUACUUUGAAACUCCAAAACAUUAUGGGGAGAAAUUAAAGAAGACCCAGAUAAAUGGAGAGAUAUACCAUGUUCAUGGAUUCAAACACUCAAUGCCCUCAUGAUAUCAAUCUUCCCUCAAAUUUAUCUAUAGAUUCAAAGCAAUAAAAAUUACAGAAGACUUCCGUUUUAGGUAGAA